rnacentral:rRNA from 1 species
GGGUUAAACCCUUUCUCUGGGAGAAAGUUGUGAAAGCAACCUGACGGUACCAGAGGAAUCAGCAUCGGCUAACUCCGUGCCAGCAGCCGCGGUAAGACGGAGGAUGCAAGCGUUAUCCGGAAUGAUUGGGCGUAAAGCGUCCGCAGGUGGCAGUUCAAGUCUGCUGUCAAAGACCGGGGCGUUAACUUCGGAAAGGCAGUGGAAACUGAACAGCUAGAGUAUGGUAGGGGCAGAGGGAAUUCCUGGUGUAGCGGUGAAAUGCGUAGAGAUCAGGAAGAACAUCGGUGGCGAAGGCGCUCUGCUGGACCAUAACUGACACUCAGGGACGAAAGCUAGGGGAGCGAAUGGGAUUAGAUACCCCAGUAGUCCUAGCCGUAAACGAUGGAUACUAGGUGUUGUCUGUAUCGACCCGGACAGUGCCGUAGCUAACGCGUUAAGUAUCCCGCCUGGGGAGUACGCACGCAAGUGUGAAACUCAAAGGAAUUGACGGGGGCCCGCACAAGCGGUGGAGUAUGUGGUUUAAUCGAUGCAACGCGAAGAACCUUACC